AGUGAACGCUGGCGGUAGGCCUAACACAUGCAAGUCGAACGGCAGCACAGUAGGAGCUUGCUCUUACGGGUGGCGAGUGGCGGACGGGUGAGGAAUACAUCGGAAUCUACUUUUUCGUGGGGGAUAACGUAGGGAAACUUACGCUAAUACCGCAUACGACCUACGGGUGAAAGCAGGGGAUCUUCGGACCUUGCGCGAUUGAAUGAGCCGAUGUCGGAUUAGCUAGUUGGCGGGGUAAAGGCCCACCAAGGCGACGAUCCGUAGCUGGUCUGAGAGGAUGAUCAGCCACACUGGAACUGAGACACGGUCCAGACUCCUACGGGAGGCAGCAGUGGGGAAUAUUGGACAAUGGGCGCAAGCCUGAUCCAGCCAUACCGCGUGGGUGAAGAAGGCCUUCGGGUUGUAAAGCCCUCUUGUUGGGAAAGAAAAGCAGCAGGUUAAUACCCCGCUGUUCUGACGGUACCCAAAGAAUAAGCACCGGCUAACUUCGUG
rnacentral:rRNA from 1 species